rfam:Felis catus isolate Cinnamon breed Abyssinian chromosome B3, whole genome shotgun sequence.
GCCUGGAUGGCUCAGUUGGUUAAGCGCCUGACUUGGGCUCAGGUCAUGAACUCACUGUUUGUGGGUUCCAGCCCCACGUCCGGCC